GACGAACGCUGGCGGCGUGCUUAACACAUGCAAGUCGAACGGAAAGGCCCUGCUUUUGUGGGGUGCUCGAGUGGCGAACGGGUGAGUAACACGUGAGUAACCUGCCCUUGACUUUGGGAUAACUUCAGGAAACUGGGGCUAAUACCGGAUAGGAGCUCCUGCUGCAUGGUGGGGGUUGGAAAGUUUCGGCGGUUGGGGAUGGACUCGCGGCUUAUCAGCUUGUUGGUGGGGUAGUGGCUUACCAAGGCUUUGACGGGUAGCCGGCCUGAGAGGGUGACCGGCCACAUUGGGACUGAGAUACGGCCCAGACUCCUACGGGAGGCAGCAGUGGGGAAUAUUGCACAAUGGGCGGAAGCAUGAUGGAGCAACGCCGCGUGCGGGAUGACGGCCUUCGGGUUGUAAACCGCUUUCGCCUGUGACGAAGAGUGAGUGACGGUAAUGGGUAAAGAAGCACCGGCUAACUACGUG
rnacentral:rRNA from 1 species